rnacentral:lncRNA from 1 species
CGAUUUUUUUUUUUUUUUUGAUUUGUACUAAAUUAGAGGAGACCUGGUCAGACAAAAUUAAUAAAACAAAUCAUCCACACCUCCUCAUGAACCUUCUAUAAGGAACCGUAUUAUGAAUAUAUAAAUCAAGAGUGGCUUGGGAGUUAGGUACUGGAGCCCUUGAAAACAAAACUAAUAUGGUUCUUAUAAAAUGGGAGUAUUAUUUAUUAGAAAAAGGAUUCACGGAACGAUCAUUGACAUUGCUCAUAUAAAUGGAGACUUCAACUAUGAAGCCAUCAAGAUAGCAAUCAGUUUGAAAUAAAUAACAGUGAUUAUUUACUCCUUUUAUGAGAAUGGUUGAACAUAUCUGAGCGUGGGAUUUUGACUAAAUUACAUUCAACAAGAGAUACAAAACGAGAUAAUAUGACAUAUAUUUUAUUAAAAUAUAUAUAUAUGUAAGAGUCAAGAGAAGAGAAAUCAAACGGAUCUAAUGAGCAUGAAUAUUAAACAAAUCAUUGAAUGAAUUCAUUUUAUUUGAAUUGUACAAAUACGGUACUGCAUAUUAUCAUUUUAAUCAAUAUCUAUAUAUGAAAAAUAUGCUCACGUUAUAGUGUUUUCACUGACGUCCUAAAUAGGACCAUAAUAAAAAGAGACGUCAUUUUGGGGGCUCAAAGUUGAAAGUA